GAAGUUAGUUGCGUCUAUGUGUGUGCGCGUAUGCUCUGCUUUUGUUGAGAAUUCAAAAACAAGUGUAGCACGUGAGCGUAAACACGUGAAACAAUAGAAGGAUCGCUAAAGCAAACGUUCAACAUGAGUGUUCAAAAUUCCGAUAACGAAGGACCAAGUGAAUAUGCAGUUGUGUGCUUUUUACCAAGACGAGGUCCUGGUUACGAUGAAAUUGAUUUGGUCCCAUAUUCAUGGAUUGACAUUGUGGAAGAAAAAUUAUAUUGCUAUUAUCCGAAUACAAAAAAAGAUUUAAAUAAAAGAGACAAAUAUUUAGAGAAAAAAUCUCGACCAAAGAAAAACUGGACACUUUGUGAAGUCGAAAUAAUCUCGAGUACUGAUACUUUAGAAAGAGGAAAGCGACACUUCAAACGUGCCGAAAUCACGAUGAAACAGUUGAAAGUCAUUAGAUGUUUUUAAAAAGUGGG